rnacentral:tRNA from 1 species
ACCUGGAUGGCUCAUUCAGUUGAGCAUCUGACUUCGGCUCAGGUCAUGAUCUCACAGUUUGUGGGUUCAAGCCCCGUGUCAGGUU